UACGGGGGGGGCAAGCGUUGUUCGGAAUUACUGGGCGUAAAGGGCUCGUAGGCGGCCAACUAAGUCGGAUGUGAAAUCCCCAGGCUUAACCUGGGAACUGCAUCCGAUACUGGAUGGCUUGAAUCCGGGAGAGGGAUGCAGAAUUCCAGGUGUAGCGGUGAAAUGCGUAGAUAUUGGGAGGAACACCAGUGGCGAAGGCGGCUCACUGGACCGGAACUGACGCUGAGGCGCGAAAGCGUGGGGAGCAAACGGG
rnacentral:rRNA from 1 species